UACAGAGGGUGCGAGCGUUGUCCGGAAUCACUAGGGCGUAAAGGCGCGUAGGCGGCGUUGAUAAGGUUGCGGUGAAAGCCCGGGCUCAACCCGGUCGGCGUCGGCAACUGUGAGCUGGAGCACUGUAGAGGCAGGUGGAAGUUCGGGUCGGUAGCGGUGGAAUGCGUAGAGAAUCCGGAAGAACACCGGUGGCGAAGGCG
rnacentral:rRNA from 1 species